ACAGACUGGAGACACGUCUGAGUUUGUCCGGAGAGUUUCUUUAUUCAGGAGACAGUAUUUUAAAAAUGAACAUCAUUCUGAGAAAACUGAACAGAUUUUUCCCUCACAACUCACGACUUUACAUGGACAGUUAAUGGCAGAAAGUUUCACCCAGAGAAACAGAACCGGGCGGUAAAAGUGACUCAGAUGACAGUUGGACCAGCAGGUUCAGGCCCCCGCCCUCCUGACCGACCGGCUCCAACAGUCACACAAUGUGGGAAUGUCAUUCACCCCUGCUAGACCUUUCAGGACCUUUCAAAACAAAGUGUGGGUCAGCAGUAAUUGUGCCCGGUGCCCAGCAGCACCCAGGGAGCCGGAUCCUGUUUACACCUCUGCCAACGUCGUCCUCCAACCGCCGAGACAGAUUCUUCACGUCAACCUGAACCCGGAUCUGUUUCCAAGGAGCUUUCAUCACAGCGAGGAGUCUCCAGUUACAGAAGACACAGGAGGAGUUCUUCUGAGGAGGACUGUGAAGGUGAUGAUGAUGAUGACGAUGAUGUAACGUGAGUGGUGGUUUCAUGCAUCAUGUGGCCUGCAGCAGCUCGAGCUGUACCAGAGUUGAGCCGGAUUAGUGAAGAUCCAAAAUGUUUGACACUUUGAGCUCGUGGUGACGCAGCGCUCAUUGUUCAGCUCGGGUUUGGUUCUGCUCACACAGACGACAGCUGUGGAAACAAACUGUUGAACUCUUUAAUUAUUUGUUUUAAGAAAAGCAGUUUGGACCUGGGCUUGGAUUCUUUUAUAAGAUGUCAAUUAGAAACACUUCUUUAAAGGAAUAGCUCAGAUCAUUUCAGACGAGCUGCACACUAACGCUUUUACAGUGAAGUUUUCAGCUUUAUGGUUUAAAUGACGUCUUUUCAGAUCAGUUUGUGAUCUCUGGGCUUCUGCAGACUUGGUUUUAAAACACUCUCCAGAUACUUCAGCUGUUUAGGAGAAUGCUGCAGAGCUGUUUUCAGCGUUGGGGGACGAGGAGAUAAUGACUGAGCUUUACUUUUUGGGUGAGCUGCUCCUUAAAUGGUCGAUGUGAAUGAAAAGAAAUAUGAUGUGACGAUGAGUUGCCUUGUUCACACGGCCGACUCUCAGAAGUCGUCCUGGUUCAUUAAAGGUGAAAUAAAUAAAAUUCAUACAAACAUAAGUCUGCAGGAUCCUUGUUGUUCAUAGACUUAUCGAGACUCGGUUGUUGUGUUUGGAGAUUUUCUGAGGAAAAACAUUUUAAGAUCAAGAUUUUAGGUGAAAUGUCAGAGAACCAGAACGUGUUUGUGUCCCAGCCUCAGUAAUCCAACACACACUUCCUGUUGAUGUUGCUGUGCUGCAGACAGUGUGACAGAGUGUUUCUGCUCCUCAGACUGAAGAUGUCUUUAAAGAGACGGCUGCUGUCCAUGUUGUUGUGCUGUGUUUACUGCGUGGCCUCGCUCUUCUGCCUCCACCCGAACCGCAACAACUGCUUCUCUAUCGGAGCUCGGAACCUGGUGUCCGUCGUCCAGCAGCUUUACCAGCGAGUCAUUCGACUGCUGCGCACCACCCUCUGAGCCAAACCACUUCCUGUGUUCGAACCGAUGACUCUGGAGACGUCCUGCUGCUGCGGCUGUCGUGCAGCAUGUCCUUCAGUAGUGCAUCAGCCACUGAAAAGAAGAAGAAGAAGACACAGAGGAAGGGCAGUGGUGUCACUCCUCUCUGGACUGUGAAGCUUCGUCACCGCUGCAUGUUAAAUCUGAUCUGAAGAUGUUUAUUUUUUUACUGAAGUAUUUUAACUUUGUGUUUAUCUGCUGUGUGAGAUUCUAAGUGAGGUGGGAAGGAAGGUCCUUUCAAUGCAUUUAAGUUCUGGUUUGGCUGAUCUGCAACAGCAGAAAAAAAAACAAGAAAAACAGGCUUGUGAUCAGGAGGUUGCUGGUUGAAAUUCCUGGACGUGCUGGCUGUGUUGUUGUGAUGUUUGCUCUUCACCUCAUUAGCUGUGAGGUGAGGCAGGAGACUGCAGCACCUGAGGUGUGGUGACGCUUGAAACCAACAUACUAGAGGUCUUAACAGCUCUACACAAACUCAACAUGUAUGAAUUAAUUCACCAGGUUUAGAUCUGGAUCAAAACUGGACCUGAAGAUAAUCAGAUCCAAAAUGCAGUCGACCCAAACAGAGAGAGAGAGAGAGAGAGAGCAGCAGGAAGAAGCUGUUGAAAAGAGAAGCAACAAGUGAUCAAAGCUGAUGAGUGUCUUGAGUCCGCUCAGGUAUCAGAUAUAUUGACAUGCAGACCUCAGACCUGCAGCAGUCAGAUAUACCCGAUCAGACUGAAUAUAAACAGGAAGUGUUUGGUUACGACUAAGUGGACCCGUGAAAAUAUGUGAUGCAGUUGUAGAUAACUUGUGUUUUUACUUUGUGGGCUUUAAAAGGCAGUUUUGGUUUCCAAGAUGUGACAGAUACAACAGGAGCAAGCAAAACAGACUUCUGACAGAGCAGCAGAAAACUUUAUGUUGAUGACCUGAUAAUGCAAACAGAACAGUGCUGACAGAGAGGCAGUAUCUAUCGAACUAACACAUAUGAGCUGAUCAGAGAUGUCUGAAACGCUGAAGUCUUUAGCUGACAAACAACAAAACAUUAUCUCACAAAAAGAUACUGAGCAUCUCUAGACAGAUUUUAGUACUUAGAGGAAAUUAUUUAAAGAACCCAAGUGCAAAAUGUCUCUCUGACACAUAUUCUAGUUAUUCACAGAACACUGCAGUUUUAUUAGGGAUUAUUAAAAGGUGUUUUGUUUUGGUGAGAACAACCUCACAUCCACUGCGCUGGUGCUUAUGUGGAGCUGUGAGUGUCAGUGUGUGUAUUUGCUGAAAUAGACUGUGAAUAAAUGACUGAUGACUUCAGCUGCUACAGCCCUGAUUCCAAAACAGGUUGGAACACAUGAAUUUAAUUAUGACGGCAGAUCAACAACGACUAUUUUCACUCAAAUAAAACAAUUUUCUUAAAA